AGGGAAAACUCCAUCAUUUGUGAUUUGUGAAACCAUUCAACGUAGUUUCAUAUGUUGUAGAUAAUUUGAUUAUACUGAUAUAUUAUCAUUUAUCGUGUGAUAAGAGUAUGAUACAAUUUUUUGAAUGUCUAGAGGUUCUUGACCCGAAAGUCCAUACAUUCUCUAGGACAAAGCUCAAACCAUUUUAAAGUAAUUCUUGUUAGGAGAGUAGACUGCUACCACAAGAGAAUUAAAACCCACUCCUUUAGAUUGUUACUAGCAAAUCUAAUAGCCAAUUUCUCAUUGGUAAGAUUAUGAUACAAUUGUAGUGUUUCAAAAAAAUGAUUACGAUACAAUU
rnacentral:lncRNA from 1 species